GGGCCCGCACAAGCGGCGGAGCAUGCGGAUUAAUUCGAUGCAACGCGAAGAACCUUACCAAGGCUUGACAUAUAGAGGAAAAGUGCAGAAAUGCACUCCCCGCAAGGUCUCUAUACAGGUGGUGCAUGGUUGUCGUCAGCUCGUGUCGUGAGAUGUUGGGUUAAGUCCCGCAACGAGCGCAACCCUCGUCCUAUGUUGCCAGCACGUAAUGGUGGGAACUCAUGGGAUACUGCCGGGGUCAACUCGGAGGAAGGUGGGGAUGACGUCAAAUCAUCAUGCCCCUUAUGUCUUGGGCUUCACGCAUGCUACAAUGGCCGGUACAGAGGGCUGCAAUACCGCAAGGUGGAGCGAAUCCCAAAAAGCCGGUCUCAGUUCGGAUUGAGGUCUGCAACUCGACCUCAUGAAGUCGGAGUC
rnacentral:rRNA from 1 species